GAUGAACGCUGGCGGCGUGCCUAACACAUGCAAGUCGAGCGAUUCUCUUCGGAGAAGAGCGGCGGACGGGUGAGUAACGCGUGGGUAACCUGCCCUGUACACACGGAUAACAUACCGAAAGGUAUGCUAAUACGGGAUAACAUAAGAAAUUCGCAUGUUUUUCUUAUCAAAGCUCCGGCGGUACAGGAUGGACCCGCGUCUGAUUAGCUAGUUGGUGAGGUGACGGCUCACCAAGGCGACGACCAGUAGCCGACCUGAGAGGGUGAUCGGCCACAUUGGAACUGAGACACGGUCCAAACUCCUACGGGAGGCAGCAGUGGGGAAUAUUGCACAAUGGGCGAAAGCCUGAUGCAGCAACGCCGCGUGAGCGAUGAAGGCCUUCGGGUCGUAAAGCUCUGUCCUCAAGGAAGAUAAUGACGGUACUUGAGGAGGAAGCCCCGGCUAACUACGUGCCAGCCGCCGCCGUAA
rnacentral:rRNA from 1 species